rnacentral:rRNA from 1 species
ACAUCGCCUUUAGCCAAACAAGUAUUAAAGGUCCCGCCUGCCCAGUGAGCCCCCUUAAACGGCCGCGGUACUCUAACCGUGCAAAGGUAGCGUAAUCACUUGCCCCCUAAAUAGGGGCUAGUAUGAACGGCUAAAUGAGGGCCUAACUGUCUCCUGCGACAAGCCAAUGAAACUGCUCUCUCAGUACAAAAGCUGAGAUGACACCACAAGACGAGAAGACCCUGUGGAGCUUCUAAGCACCACACUAACCCAACAGCCCACCCAUAGUGCACACUUUAAGUUGGGGCGACUACGGAGAAAACCCUAACCUCCACGAAACAGGACUAACCUCCACCCAAGGCCAACAAGCCAAGGCUAUCAAUGACCCAUUGACCCAGCAACGCUGAACAACGGACCAAGUUACCCCAGGGAUAACAGCGCAAUCCUCCUCAAGAGUCCAUAUCGCCAGGAGGGUUUACGACCUCGAUGUUGGAUCAGGACCCCC